rnacentral:rRNA from 1 species
GAUGAACGCUGGCGGCGUGCCUAAUACAUGCAAGUCGAGCGAACAGACGAGGAGCUUGCUCCUCUGACGUUAGCGGCGCACGGGUGAGUAACACGUGGAUAACCUACCUAUAAGACUGGGAUAACUUCGGGAAACCGGAGCUAAUACCGGAUAAUAUAUUGAACCGCAUGGUUCAAUAGUGAAAGACGGUUUUGCUGUCACUUAUAGAUGGAUCCGUGCCGCAUUAGCUAGUUGGUAAGGUAACGGCUUACCAAGGCAACGAUGCGUAGCCGACCUGAGAGGGUGAUCGGCCACACUGGAACUGAGACACGGUCCAGACUCCUACGGGAGGCAGCAGUAGGGAAUCUUCCGCAAUGGGCGAAAGCCUGACGGAGCAACGCCGCGUGAGUGAUGAAGGUCUUCGGAUCGUAAAACUCUGUUAUUAGGGAAGAACAAAUGUGUAAGUAACUAUGCACGUCUUGACGGUACCUAAUCAGAAAGCCACGGCUAACUACGUG